CCCCUAGAUGUUCUGGGCCGCACGCGCGCUACACUGAAGCGUUCAACGAGUAUUCACCUUGCCCGGGAGGGUUGGGUAAUCUUUUGAAAACGCUUCGUGAUGGGGAUAGAUUAUUGCAAUUAUUAAUCUUCAACGAGGAAUUCCUAGUAAGCGCGAGUCAUCAGCUCGUGCUGAUUACGUCCCUGCCCUUUGUACACACCGCCCGUCGCUCCUACCGAUUGAGCAAACCGGUGAAUAGUUUGGACCGUCGGCUUUCUCGGUUCGCCGGGUUAGCAGUGCGGAAAAUUCAGUGAACCUUUUUGCUUAGAGGAAGGAGAANUCGUAACA
rnacentral:rRNA from 1 species